rnacentral:rRNA from 1 species
CCUACGGGACGCAGCAGUGGGGAAUAUUGCACAAUGGGGGAAACCCUGAUGCAGCAACGCCGCGUGAGUGAAGAAGGGUUUCGGCUCGUAAAGCUCUGUUGGUAGUGAAGAAAGAUAGAGGGAGUAACUGGCCUUUAUUUGACGGUAAUUACUUAGAAAGUCACGGCUAACUACGUGCCAGCAGCCGCGGUAAUACGUAGGUGGCAAGCGUUGUCCGGAUUUAUUGGGCGUAAAGAGAGUGCAGGCGGGUGAAUAAGUAUG